rnacentral:rRNA from 1 species
UGGAAACGGACGCUAAUACCGGAUAUUAUCGCAUGAUGAAAGCUAUAUGCGCUGCGAGAGAGCUUUGCGUCCCAUUAGUUAGUUGGUGAGGUAACGGCUCACCAAGACGAUGAUGGGUAGCCGGCCUGAGAGGGUGAACGGCCACAAGGGGACUGAGACACGGCCCUUACUCCUACGGGAGGCAGCAGUGGGGAAUAUUGGACAAUGGACCAAAGUCUGAUCCAGCAAUUCUGUGUGCACGAUGAAGUUUUUCGGAAUGUAAAGUGCUUUCAGUUGGGAAGAAGAAAGUGACGGUACCAACAGAAGAAGCGACGGCUAAAUACGUGCCAGCAGCCGCGGUAAUACGUAUGUCGCAAGCGUUAUCCGGAUUUAUUGGGCGUAAAGCGCGUCUAGGCGGUUUGGUAAGUCUGAUGUGAAAAUGCGGGGCUCAACUCCGUAUUGCGUUGGAAACUGUCAAACUAGAGUACUGGAGAGGUAGGCGGAACUACAAGUGUAGAGGUGAAAUUCGUAGAUAUUUGUAGGAAUGCCGAUGGGGAAGCCAGCCUACUGGACAGAUACUGACGC